CCUCUUUGAGAAAAAUGAGGUGGUUAAGGUCAAAUCUGUAGAAAGAAAAUGCAUUAUUUUGAAAGGAGUAACAGUUGCUUUAAAAUUUAAUAUACAGUUUUAAUUAUUUGUGAAGUCUGAAACUAAUAACUAUUUCAGAAUUUUAAAGAAGAAAAUGGCUAAUAUAGACAGGAUUACUAAUUCAAGGUAUUCCAAGUUUUUGUUAAUAAAGAUCAGCCACUUUUAAUUAGAGAUCCAAGUCUUAUGUAAAAAUCAGGCUUUCCAAAGUCUCAUUAACAGAUAUAUUAAAGGUGACUAUUUUAUGACUUACUGAACUAAAAAAAAGAGUCAAGGUGACCUCAUUAAAGAUAUGUCGUUCAUUUAUUCUGAAUCUUAUAUUGAUAGAUAAUACCAGAAGAUUUCAGCAUAGCAGAUAAAAUACAGCAUAUCCUAACCAGCACAGGUUUUAGUGACAAACGGGCCCGUUCCAUGGACAUAGAUGACUUCAUCAGAUUGCUACAUGGAUUCAACGCAGAAGGUAUUCAUUUUUCCUAGAUAUUUGGAAAACAGAAAUUUUCAAGGUCAAGAAAAUAAAUGAAUUUUGUAUUUUGUGUAUUUGAGAAGAUAAUGCUUUUGCUUUACUGAGACAUUAUUU
rnacentral:sRNA from 1 species